CAAUGUGUGUGCAUGCCAAGGUAUGUGUAGCCUCUAUUCGCUUGUAGAUCUUAUUUUUUUACACGAAAUUAUGGAAAUGAUCAUCUAUGGUAACGCUUGCGAGUACAGCUGCAACAAUGUUGGCAGGGUCGGAGGGAGGCUAUGUGAUGGCAUGAGUUAUUGUAACAACCUAUAGAUCAUUAUGGUUUUUUGGGUGGUACCUAUAGUUCAUUAUGUUUGGAAAGAUAUGUGUUCUGUUUUUCAUGGGCGCUAAAAAACUUAUGUUUUAAAAUUUGCAAACUGGCCCUGUAUGUUCUAAGGGCUGCUACUGGUGGCCAAUUUGAAGAUAUGUGGUGCAUUGGGUCUUAGACGCCGCAGAGAGCCCAACUAGGCUCGCUCAGAAGGAAAAAAAAACUCCAAUGGAUCGCUCCCUUGAAGACCUCUCUCCUCUCUCGUGAACUAGGCACGCCGCACACCCACUCCCCUCCAUGCACCGCUACCCCUCUCUUCCCCUCCCCUCACGCGUCGCCACCGCCAACCACCUCGUCUUCCUCACGCCGCCUCACUGCUGGCGUCCACCCGUAUCCUCUCCCCAAAGCCGUCGAACUCAUAUCUCCCCAUCUCAUCACAAGAGACGAGGGAGAUCUUUUUUUCUCGAAUACAGAAGUGGGAGAUCGACCAGGUCUGGCGCCGGCCAUGGCAGCGGCCACAUCCGCCACAGGCGCAGCAACCUCGCUGAAUAGAAGAUAGGAUAGAUAGAUAGAUUAACACUAGGCAUAACACUUUGUUUGCACCAUAGCUAGCUAAAAUUUACUGUAACCAGAAUCAACAGCGAGCAGGAUCGAAGAUUGAAACAAACUUGCACCUUGAGCAAUGGCGUCGGCGUGCUCUCUAGCUCUAGGAGUCUCCCUCCCAGCGCACCAGCUCCCCUUGCCUUCACCUCCUAUAGCUAAGUUUCCAUUUCGAUAUUCCUCUCGUUCGAUCUCACCGAUAGUGCUCUACGCGCUCUGUUUUGACUGCAGGUUGCUGCACCGUACCGUGCGAACGGCGGCCAACAAUUGAGUUGUGGCUGCUGCGAGGACAGUCUCACUGGGCGCCGCCAGGAGGAUACUCGGUUCAGCCAUGUGUGGUGAUACGGCGGCGGCUAGGUGGCGGCCUUGCGGACAGUGGAGGCGGUGCUGGGCGUGCCACCGCUGUGCUCGUGUGCCUAUCAGCAGCAAUUUGCCAGCCAACGCUACCUCGACGUCAGAACGGAUGGUGAGUUCGGCAGCGGGCAUCCGGUAGGAGCGGUGAACAUAUCACAUAUGCAUGUACAACACCGGCUCAGGUACUUAAUCAAACCCACUUCAGGCUCUCGUGAUCGUUGGAAACAAACUGUGGUGUUAGGAGCAAAAUUCAUUUUGGUUAACUGUAUAGCCCAUUUUGGGAGCAACUGGUCAAGUGGAAGUUUCAGAACUGGAUUUGCACUGAAAAAUCAGGAUUGGCAUAAUUAUCUGAUCCAUCUACAUGGCAUGGGUCUUUUUUUAAGUCUCUACUCUAGACACAUGAUUGCUUUCCCUGCCAUGAACUUGCGACUUUGAAACCAGGCACCGAAGUGGCAUCUAGGUACUGCGACUGGCCAUCACUGGAUGACGUAUUAUUGGUAUCACUACUUUGAAACCAAUGUUCACAAGCUUAUAAUAUGUAUUACUGACAUACAUGGGUGCAUGCAUGGUGUACAGAUAGUAGUUGUGCAGGCAUUGUUGUCCAAAGUCAGUAUUUUUUUUGUCGCAAAAGAGCGACUAUUAUUGCCGUGGCAUUCUUGUUCAUGGUGCAGGAAAUCUCUGGACAUGACAAAAGUAUAUAUCUUGCAAGGUGGCAUUGCAUCAGAAUGUUUUGAGCUUUUCAAGAAUAUAGACAAGGUAGUAAGUUUCAUGGUGGAUCAAGCACGAUUUUGGUUUAUUUGUUUAUGAGCACUACCAUAAUUGACAUGGGAUUUGUAUGCAAACUUCUGAAAAUAAGGUUGAGUGUUCAUUUUUAGUGGGGUCAUAUUUUGUGACAAUGACUUCACAAUCACA